GAGCAGAUCGUUGGAUGUCGUAGCGGCCAUGAAGAGCGAGGCAGAGGAGGCGCUGAUCUAUGUCGAGAGAGAGAGGGCUGCCGGUUAGUGCAGCUGUGGCGCGGCAAGACGCCGGAGAGAGGCUGUGGAUCGAGAAGGUCGGCAGCGGCGGGCUGCCGAUUAGUGCAGCUGCGCCGGCGGCGCGGGUAGGGAAGAAUUAGGGUUUCUUUGGUGAUAAGCCAUUGGCAUAUGAUACCAUGUAGAGAGUUUUGGGAGAAUUAAUUUUCUCGUAUUGCUCACAAAAGU
rnacentral:lncRNA from 1 species